rnacentral:ncRNA from 4 species
GGUCUCCAAGGUGAACAGCCUCUGG